rnacentral:tRNA from 1 species
UCCUUGGUGGCUCAGAGGGUAAGCAUCUGCCUGCAAUGCAGGAGACCCUGGUUCCAUUCCUGGGUCAGGAA